UCUGGCCGUGCGCACUUUCAUCUUGCUGUCCGGAAUAUGCUGCGCCAUUGGAACGUGGGUCGUGGCGAGUUCUGAUGUACUGCCGUUCCUCGUCUUUCCCGGUCCUCUUGUCAAUGUAGUGAUCAACACGUUCGACGAAUACUACGUCCGUCCUUAUUACCACGCGGUCUGCUACUUCAGCGGUUGCAUAACAUUCCUUAUCAUGGAAGGCUUCAAGCAAAAGAACAUUACCAAGGGCAUGCAGAUUGCGGGAUGGUGCUUGUCCGUCAGCUGUGGCCUCGCCUCUGUGUUCGCAAAGCUUCCGUGGUACAGAAGCGCAAACCCGACCACGCAAGGCGUAACCCUGAUUGCUGCGUUCUUUGACCGCAUCUUCUGGUCGGUCUUCCUCAUCUGGAUCACUCUCGCGUGUUCUUCGGGACG
rnacentral:lncRNA from 1 species